CAGUUGCAGAACUCAUAGAUACAGAGGACCAACUGGAUCUCCAUCAUCAAGGACAUGGAGGGCAGAGGGUGGGAUAUGAUAUUAGCCAGAAAGGAUGCAUUGAGAAUUCAUGGACCUGAGCAGGAAAAUAUGGUGCACUUAUUGAACAAUAAGCAAAUAUGAGCUUUAGAAAAUGGAUAUUCUGGCUGGGCGUGGUGACUCAUGCCUGUAAUUCCAGCACUUUGGGAGGCCGAGGCGGGUGGAUCACCUGACGUCGGGAGUUCAAGACUCAGCCUGG